rnacentral:misc_RNA from 1 species
CGUGUGCGUAGCACAGGCUAACCGUAUCUAGUACUAUAUAGAAGAGACAUCACAUGGAUGAUCAAGGGCAUAAUAAUAAUUUUACUACUAACACUGGGCCAGAUAUUUUGAAAAGCAAGUAUGGGCAUAAAGGUAAUUUCAUAGCUAACAUUGUGGCCAGAUACUACUUUUUACUAUAUAGAAGAGCAAUCACAUGGACGACCAAGGGCAUAAUAGUAAUUUUACUACUAACAUUGGGCCAGAUAUUUUGAAAAGCAUGUAUGGACAAUUAUGGGCAUAAAGGUAAUUUCAUAGCUAA